UCUAAGUAUAAGCAAUUAUACCGUGAAACUGCGAAUGGCUCAUUAAAUCAGUUAUCGUUUAUUUGAUAGUACCUUACUACUUGGAUAACCGUGGUAAUUCUAGAGCUAAUACAUGCUGAAAACCCCAACUUCGGGAGGGGUGUAUUUAUUAGAUAAAAAACCAACGCCCUUCGGGGCUUCUUGGUGAUUCAUGAUAACUUUACGGAUCGCAUGGCCUUGCGCCGGCGACGGUUCAUUCAAAUUUCUGCCCUAUCAACUUUCGAUGGUAAGGUAUUGGCUUACCAUGGUUUCAACGGGUAACGGGGAAUUAGGGUUCGAUUCCGGAGAGGGAGCCUGAGAAACGGCUACCACAUCCAAGGAAGGCAGCAGGCGCGCAAAUUACCCAAUCCCGACACGGGGAGGUAGUGACAAUAAAUACUGAUACAGGGCUCUUUUGGGUCUUGUAAUUGGAAUGAGUACAAUUUAAACCUCUUAACGAGGAACAAUUGGAGGGCAAGUCUGGUGCCAGCAGCCGCGGUAAUUCCAGCUCCAAUAGCGUAUAUUAAAGUUGUUGCAGUUAAAAAGCUCGUAGUUGAACCUUGGGUCUGGCUGGCAGGUCCGCCUCACCGCGUGUACUUGUCCGGCCGGGCCUUCCUUCUGGAGAACCUCAUGCCCUUCACUGGGCGUGUUGGGGACCAGGACUUUUACUUUGAAAAAAUUAGAGUGUUCAAAGCAGGCCUUUGCUCGAAUACGUUAGCAUGGAAUAAUAGAAUAGGACGUGCGGUCCUAUUUUGUUGGUUUCUAGGACCGCCGUAAUGAUUAAUAGGGACAGUCGGGGGCAUCAGUAUUCAAUUGUCAGAGGUGAAAUUCUUGGAUUUAUUGAAGACUAACUACUGCGAAAGCAUUUGCCAAGGAUGUUUUCAUUAAUCAGUGAACGAAAGUUAGGGGAUCGAAGACGAUCAGAUACCGUCGUAGUCUUAACCGUAAACUAUGCCGACUAGGGAUCGGGCGAUGUUCUUUUUCUGACUCGCUCGGCACCUUACGAGAAAUCAAAGU
rnacentral:rRNA from 1 species